UACAGAGGGGGCAAGCGUUGUUCGGAAUUACUGGGCGUAAAGGGCGCGUAGGCGGCCUUCUAAGUCGAACGUGAAAUCCCCGGGCUCAACCCGGGAACUGCGUCCGAGACUGGAAGGCUCGAAUCCGGGAGAGGGAUGUGGAAUUCCAGGUGUAGCGGUGAAAUGCGUAGAUAUCUGGAGGAACAUCGGUGGCGAAGGCGGCAUCCUGGACCGGUAUUGACGCUGAAGCGCGAAAGCCAGGGGAGCAAACGGG
rnacentral:rRNA from 1 species